rnacentral:rRNA from 1 species
UACGAAGGGUGCAAGCGUUACUCGGAAUUACUGGGCGUAAAGCGUGCGUAGGCGGCUUUGCAAGUCAGAUGUGAAAUCCCCGGGCUCAACCUGGGAACUGCAUUUGAGACUGCAGGGCUGGAGUACGGCAGAGGGGGAUGGAAUUCCGCGUGUAGCAGUGAAAUGCGUAGAGAUGUGGAGGAACACCGAUGGCGAAGGCAGCCCCCUGGGCCGAUACUGACGCUCAUGCACGAAAGCGUGGGGAGCAAACAGG